UACGUAGGGUGCAAGCGUUGUCCGGAAUUAUUGGGCGUAAAGAGCUCGUAGGCGGUUUGUCGCGUCGGCUGUGAAAACCUGGGGCUCAACCCCGGGCCUGCAGUCGAUACGGGCAGACUAGAGUGCGGUAGGGGAGACUGGAAUUCCUGGUGUAGCGGUGAAAUGCGCAGAUAUCAGGAGGAACACCGGUGGCGAAGGCGGAUCUCUGGGCCAUUACUGACGCUGAGGAGCGAAAGCGUGGGGAGCGAACAGG
rnacentral:rRNA from 1 species